UGCCCUAAUAGUUCCCCGCCCGGGAACAAGGAGCUGGUAUCAGGCACAACCCUACUGAGCCCAUGACGCCUUGCUUAGCCACACCCUCAAGGGAACUCAGCAGUGAUAAACAUUAAGCCAUAAGUGAAAACUUGACUUAGUUAAAGCUAAGAGGGCCGGUAAAACUCGUGCCAGCCACCGCGGUUAUACGAGAGACCCAAGUUGAUAGCCCCCGGCGUAAAGCGUGGUUAAGUUAAAACUAAAACUAAAGCCGAACACCUUCAAGGCUGUUAUACGCACCCGAAGACAAGAAGUUCACCCACGAAAGUGGCUUUAUUUAAUCUGACCCCACGAAAGCUACGGAACAAACUGGGAUUAGAUACCCCACUAUGCCUAGCCCUAAACAUUGAUAGUACACUACGCCCACUAUCCGCCUGGGUACUACGAGCCUCAGCUUAAAACCCAAAGGACUUGGCGGUGCUUUAGAUCCACCUAGAGGAGCCUGUUCUAGAACCGAUAACCCCCGUUCAACCUCACCUUUCCUUGUUUUCCCCGCCUAUAUACCGCCGUCGUCAGCUUACCCUGUGAAGGACUAAUAGUAAGCAAAACUGGUAAAACCCAAAACGUCAGGUCGAGGUGUAGCGCAUGGGAAGGGAAGAAAUGGGCUACAUUCGCUACCACAGCGAAUACGGAUGGUGUACUGAAACGUACGCCUGAAGGAGGAUUUAGCAGUAUGCAG
rnacentral:rRNA from 1 species